CCUACGGGAGGCUGCAGUGGGGAAUAUUGCACAAUGGGGGAAACCCUGAUGCAGCGACGCCGCGUGAGUGAAGAAGUAUUUCGGUACGUAAAGCUCUAUCAGCAGGGAAGAAAAUGACGGUACCUGACUAAGAAUCCCCGGCUAACUACGUUCCAGCCGCCGCGGUAAUACGUAGGGGGCAAGCGUUAUCCGGAUUUACUGGGUGUAAAGGGAGCGUAGACGGCAGCGCAAGUCUGGAGUGAAAUCCCAUGGCUUAACCAUGGAACUGCUUUGGAAACUGUGCAGCUAGAGUGCAGGAGAGGUAAGCGGAAUUCCUAGUGUAGCGGUGAAAUGCGUAGAUAUUAGGAGGAACACCAGUGGCGAAGGCGGCUUACUGGACUGUAACUGACGUUGAGGCUCGAAAGCGUGGGGAGCAAACAGGAUUAGAUACCCCUGUAGUC
rnacentral:rRNA from 1 species